UACGUAGGGUCCGAGCGUUGUCCGGAAUUAUUGGGCGUAAAGGGCUCGUAGGCGGCUUGUCACGUCGGGUGUGAAGGCCCGGGGCUUAACCCCGGGUCUGCAUUCGAUACGGGCAGGCUAGAGUGUGGUAGGGGAGAUCGGAAUUCCUGGUGUAGCGGUGAAAUGCGCAGAUAUCAGGAGGAACACCGGUGGCGAAGGCGGAUCUCUGGGCCAUUACUGACGCUGAGGAGCGAAAGCGUGGGGAGCGAACAGG
rnacentral:rRNA from 1 species